rnacentral:rRNA from 1 species
UACAGAGGUCUCAACCGUUGUUCGGAUUCAUUGGGCGUAAAGCGUGCGCAGGCGGUUUUGUAAGUCUGUCGUGAAAUCCCCGGGCUCAACCUGGGAAUUGCGAUGGAGACUGCAAGGCUAGAAUCUGGCAGAGGGGGGUAGAAUUCCACGUGUAGCAGUGAAAUGCGUAGAGAUGUGGAGGAACACCGAUGGCGAAGGCAGCCCCCCUGGGUCAAGAUUGACGCUCAUGCACGAAAGCGUGGGGAGCAAACAGG